GGCUCCCUGUAGCACAAUAAAUAGGGAGUCGGACCUGCCCAGUGAGUUUUUUCAACGGCCGCGGUACUCUGACCGUGCAAAGGUAGCAUAAUCAUUUGCCUUAUAACUGAAGGCUAGUAUGAAUGGUUUGACAAGAAUAUGACUGUCUCUUUGUAAUUAAUUAGAAUUUUAUUUUCAGGUGAAGAAGCCUGUAUAUAAUUGAAAGACAAGAAGACCCUAUCGAGCUUAAAAGAAGUUAAUAAGUGUAAAUCUUAAUAAAGCAUUAAUGUUACUUAUUAAAAAUUUUAGUUGGGGCGACUAAGGAACAAAAAAAGCUUCCUUUAUAUUUUAAGUUAAGGCAAACGGGCAUUGAUCCAAAAGUUGUUGAUUAAAGGAAUUAGUUACCGUAGGGAUAACAGCAUUAUCUUCUUUGAGAGUUCAUAUCGAAAAGAGGGUUUGUGACCUCGAUGUUGGACCAGAAUAUCCUAAAGAUGUAGCCGUCUUUAAGGGUUGGUCUGUUCGACCAUUAAAAUUCUACGUGAUCUGA
rnacentral:rRNA from 1 species